GGAAUUCGUUCGCUAGUAUGACCUACCUAAGUUUAUUUGGUAUUUAAUUGGUUGGUCAGAGUAUAGGGAUAAUAUAUGAUAUGUUAAUUAACCCUUGUUUUGUGGCAGUAUUUGAAAAUGGCAUCCGAAAAUGUUAAGAUAAGUAAUGAAGCACAUGAGACCGUUGAGUCACCAACGGUCAAUACCCAAGAUAAUGUGCAACAUGAAGAC
rnacentral:lncRNA from 1 species